rnacentral:rRNA from 1 species
GUAGGGAAUUUUCGGCAAUGGGGGAAACCCUGACCGAGCAACGCCGCGUGAAGGAAGAAGGUUUUCGGAUUGUAAACUUCUGUUAUAAAGGAAGAACGGCGGCUACAGGAAAUGGUAGCCGAGUGACGGUACUUUAUUAGAAAGCCACGGCUAACUACGUGCCAGCAGCCGCGGUAAUACGUAGGUGGCAAGCGUUAUCCGGAAUUAUUGGGCGUAAAGAGGGAGCAGGCGGCAGCAAGGGUCUGUGGUGAAAGCCUGAAGCUUAACUUCAGUAAGCCAUAGAAACCAGGCAGCUAGAGUGCAGGAGAGGAUCGUGGAAUUCCAUGUGUAGCGGUGAAAUGCGUAGAUAUAUGGAGGAACACCAGUGGCGAAGGCGACGAUCUGGCCUGCAACUGACGCUCAGUCCCGAAAGCGUGGGGAGCAAAUAGG